rnacentral:rRNA from 1 species
AACGCUAGCUACAGGCUUAACACAUGCAAGUCGAGGGGCAGCAUGGUCUUAGCUUGCUAAGGCCGAUGGCGACCGGCGCACGGGUGAGUAACGCGUAUCCAACCUGCCUUACACUCUUGGACAGCCUUCUGAAAGGGAGAUUAAUACAAGAUGUUAUCAUGAGUAAGCAUUUUCGCAUGAUUAAAGGUUUACCGGUGUAAGAUGGGGAUGCGUUCCAUUAGAUAGUAGGCGGGGUAACGGCCCACCUAGUCUUCGAUGGAUAGGGGUUCUGAGAGGAAGGUCCCCCACAUUGGAACUGAGACACGGUCCAAACUCCUACGGGAGGCAGCAGUGAGGAAUAUUGGUCAAUGGACGAGAGUCUGAACCAGCCAAGUAGCGUGAAGGAUGAAGGUUCUAUGGAUUGUAAACUUCUUUUAUACGGGAGUAAACGAAUCCACGCGUGGAUUUUUGCAUGUACCGUAUGAAUAAGGAUCGGCUAACUCCGUGCCAGCAGCCGCGGUAAUACGGAGGAUCCGAGCGUUAUCCGGAUUUAUUGGGUUUAAAGGGAGCGUAGAUGGGUUGUUAAGUCAGUUGUGAAAGUUUGCGGCUCAACCGUAAAAUUGCAAUUGAUACUGGCAGUCUUGAGUACAGUUGAGGUAGGCGGAAUUCGUGGUGUAGCGGUGAAAUGCUUAGAUAUCACGAAGAACUCCGAUUGCGAAGGCAGCUUACUAACCUGUAACUGACAUUGAUGCUCGAAAGUGUGGGUAUCAAACAGGAUUAGAUACCCUGGUAGUCCACACGGUAAACGAUGAAUACUCGCUGUAGGCGAUAUACAGUCUGCGGCCAAGCGAAAGCAUUAAGUAUUCCACCUGGGGAGUACGCCGGCAACGGUGAAACUCAAAGGAAUUGACGGGGGCCCGCACAAGCGGAGGAACAUGUGGUUUAAUUCGAUGAUACGCGAGGAACCUUACCCGGGCUUAAAUUGCAACCGAAUAUGGCGGAAACGCUAUAGCUAGCAAUAGCGGUUGUGAAGGUGCUGCAUGGUUGUCGUCAGCUCGUGCCGUGAGGUGUCGGCUUAAGUGCCAUAACGAGCGCAACCCUUGCCGAUAGUUACUAACAGGUUAUGCUGAGGACUCUGUCGGGACUGCCAUCGUAAGAUGUGAGGAAGGUGGGGAUGACGUCAAAUCAGCACGGCCCUUACGUCCGGGGCUACACACGUGUUACAAUGGGGGGUACAGAGGGCUGCUACCACGCAAGUGGAUGCCAAUCCCAAAAACCUCUCUCAGUUCGGAUUGAAGUCUGCAACCCGACUUCAUGAAGCUGGAUUCGCUAGUAAUCGCGCAUCAGCCACGGCGCGGUGAAUACGUUCCCGGGCCUUGUACACACCGCCCGUCAAGCCAUGGGAGCCGGGGGUACCUGAAGUGCGUAACCGCAAGGAGCGCCCUAGGGUAAAACUGGUGACUGGGGCUAA